CGCGUAGGCGGCCGUUUAAGUCAGAUGUGAAAGCCCGGGGCUCAACCCCGGAAGUGCAUUUGAUACUAUUCGGCUUGAGUAUGGGAGAGGGAAGUGGAAUUCCUGGUGUAGAGGUGAAAUUCGUAGAUAUCAGGAGGAACACCGGUGGCGAAGGCGACUUCCCGGACCAAUACUGACGCUGAGGCGCGAAGGCGUGGGGAGCAAACA
rnacentral:rRNA from 1 species